CGAAGUGAAUAAAAGAGAUAUCUGUGAUCGUCUUUGACAGCAUUGUGUCUCCACGUCGCCCUAUCCCAAAAGGAAACAGAUCUGUGAACUGCUGCUCAGGAAAGGCGCCAACGUCAAUGAGAAGAAUAAAGACUUCCUCACACCUCUGCAUCUGGCCGCUGAGAAGUCCCAUAACGACGUCAUUGAAGUGCUGGUGAAACACGAAGCGAAACUGGCUAUAAUAAUCUGGAGGUGGCUGAAUAUCUGCUGCAACACGGGACAAAGGUGAACUCUCAGGAUAAAGGUGGUCUCAUUCCUCUCCAUAAUGCUGCAUCUUAUGGGGU